UCCCGCGCCCGCGUGAGGGUGUCGGCCCGGGGCCCCGCCAUGGCUGGGAAGGACAGUGGGAACCUGAAGACUGUGAGGCUUUGGCGGGACGCCGCCCUGCGUGCCAGGAAGCUGCGGGGCAACCUGCGCCAGCUCACCCUCAGCGCGGCCGGGGUCUGCCCUGGGGAUGCGGCCGACCAGAUCGACUCCCCCGACGCCCCCCAGCUCGUGCUGCCGGCUAACAUUGGAGACAUCGAGGUGCUGAAUCUGGGGAACAACGGCCUGGAGGAGGUGCCGGACGGGCUGGGGUCGGCGCUGGGCAGCCUGCGCGUCCUGGUCCUGCGUAGGAACCGCUUUGCCUGGCUGCCCCCCGCGGUGGCCGAGUUGGGCCACCACCUCACCGAGCUGGACUUGAGCCACAACCGGCUGACCUCCCUGGGCUCAGAGGUGGUGAGCAGCUUGCACGAGCUGCGCAAACUCAACCUCAGCCACAACCAGCUGCCCGCCCUGCCGGACCAACUGGGCUCUCUGGCCCACCUGGAGGAGCUGGAUGUCAGCUUUAACCGGCUGGCGCACCUGCCCGACUCCCUCUCCUGCCUCUGUCGCCUGCGCACUCUCGACGUGGACCACAACCAGCUCACUGCUUUUCCUCGCCAGCUGCUGCAGCUGGCGGCCCUGGAGGAACUGGACGUGUCCAGCAACCGGCUGCGGGGCCUACCUGAGGAUAUCAGUGCCCUGCGUGCCCUGAAGAUCCUCUGGCUGAGUGGGGCCGAGCUUGGCACCCUGCCCGAGGGCUUCUGUGAGCUGGCCAGCCUGGAGAGUCUUAUGCUGGACAACAACGGGCUGCAGGCUCUGCCCGCCCAGUUCAGCCGUCUGCAGCGGCUCAAAAUGCUCAACCUCUCCUCCAACCUCUUUGAGGAGUUCCCUGCCGCACUGUUGCCCCUGGCUAGUCUGGAGGAGCUCUACCUAAGUCGCAACCAGCUCACCGCAGUGCCCUCCCUGAUCUCGGGCCUGGGCCGGCUGCUCACCCUGUGGCUGGAUAACAACCGGAUCCGAUACCUGCCAGACUCCAUUGUAGAGCUGAGCGGCUUGGAGGAGCUGGUGCUGCAGGGCAACCAGAUCGCUGUGCUGCCGGACAACUUUGGCCAGCUCUCCCGGGUGGGCCUGUGGAAGAUCAAGGACAACCCACUGAUCCAGCCCCCCUACGAGGUCUGUAUGAAGGGGAUCCCCUAUAUCGCAGCCUACCAGAAGGAGCUGGCCCACUCCCAGCCAGCGGUGCAGCCCCGCCUCAAGCUGCUCCUGAUGGGCCACAAAGCUGCCGGGAAGACCUUGCUCCGGCACUGCCUUACUGAGGGCAGAGUGGAGGGCAGUGAAGGAGGGGACAAGGACAAGAGCUACCCACCCUCACCUCCUCCUGUGAGCAAGGGCAUAGAGGUGACCAGCUGGACAGCCGACGCUUCCCGGGGCCUGCGGUUCAUCGUCUAUGACUUAGCUGGAGAUGAAAGUUACGAGGUGAUCCAGCCCUUCUUCCUCUCUCCAGGGGCCCUCUAUGUGUUGGUGGUGAACCUGGCCACCUAUGAGCCCCUGCGAUUUCCUACCACAGUGGGCUCCUUCUUGCAUCGGGUGGGGGCCCGGGUGCCUCAUGCGGUGGUGUGCAUUGUGGGCACGCAUGCAGACCUGUGUGGGGAGCGCGAGCUGGAGGAGAAGUGUCUGGACAUCCACCGCCAGAUCGCCCUGCAGGAGAAGCAUGAUGCUGAGGGGCUGAGCCGUCUGGCCCAGGUGGUGGACGAGGCGCUGGCCCGGGACUUCGAGCUGCGCUCGGCCAGCCCCCACGCAGCCUACUACGGUGUUUCAGACAAGAACCUUCGGCGGCGCAAGGCCCACUUUCAGUACCUGCUCAACCACCGGCUGCAGAUCCUCUCCCCUGUUUUGCCGGUGAGCUGCAGGGACCCUCACCAAUUACAGCGCCUUCGGGAUAAGCUGCUGUCGGUGGCUGAGCACCGGGACAUCUUCCCCAACUUACACCGAGUACUGCCUCGGUCCUGGCAGGUGCUGGAGGAGUUGCAUUUCCAGCCACCUCAGGCACAACGGCUGUGGCUAAGCUGGUGGGACUCGGCUCGCCUGGGCCUGCAGGCAGGGCUGACGGAGGACCGGCUGCAGAGUGCCCUGUCCUACCUGCACGAGAGCGGCAAGCUGCUCUACUUCGAGGAUAGCCCGGCCCUCAAGGAACACGUCUUCCACAACCUCACCCGCCUCAUUGACAUCCUCAAUGUCUUUUUCCAGAGGGAUCCUUCCUUGUUGCUGCAUAAGCUGCUCCUAGGGACCAACGGAGAGGGCGAGGGUGAGGGCGAAAACUCCCUCGUGAUGGCGCUGCCCGCGCCCAGCCAGGACCUGCUGCGGGCCACCCAGCUCCAUCAUUACGUGGAGGGCUUUCUGCUUCACGGGCUCUUGCCGGCCCAUGUCAUUCGGUUGCUGCUUAAGCCUCACGUCCAGGCCCAGCAGGACUUGCAGCUGUUGCUGGAGCUGCUGGAGAAGAUGGGACUCUGCUACUGCCUCAAUAAACCCAAGGGCAAGCCUCUGAACGGGUCCACAGCCUGGUACAAGUUCCCUUGCUAUGUGCAGAACGAGGUGCCCCACGCGGAGGCCUGGAUUAACGGGACCAACCUGGCCGGGCAGUCUUUUGUGGCUGAGCAGUUGCAGAUCGAAUACAGUUUCCCCUUUACCUUUCCACCUGGGCUAUUUGCACGCUACAGCGUCCAGAUCAACAGCCACGUGGUGCACAGGUCGGACGGGAAACUUCAGAUCUUUGCGUACAGAGGGAAGGUUCCUGUGGUGGUGAGUUACAGGCCUGCCAAGGGGGUCCUGCAGCCAGACACUCUGUCCAUUGCCAGCCACGCGUCACUACCAAAUAUAUGGACGGCAUGGCAAGCCAUCACCCCCUUGGUGGAGGAACUGAACGUCCUCCUUCAAGAGUGGCCCGGACUGCACUACACCGUGCACAUUCUCUGUUCUAAGUGCCUUAAGAGAGGGUCGCCCAAUCCACACGCGUUCCCAGGGGAGCUGCUGAGUCAGCCCAGACCCGAGGGCGUGGCGGAGAUCAUUUGCCCCAAGAAUGGCAGUGAGCGAGUGAAUGUUGCCUUGGUUUACCCACCUACACCGACUGUGAUCAGCCCCUGUUCCAAGUAUCUCCAUACUUUCUUGGAAAAUUAAGUGGAAAGGAUAGUGCUACUUUCCCUAUGGCAUCAUUUUUACUGUGCCCGAUCUGUGACUUUAGGAGCACCAGUGUUUAAGGGAAGAACGUUGGCGAAAAGCACAGACACCAGUGACCUUUCCGGCCGUGGAAUUUCCGUGGAGGAGAAAAGAGAGCCUCAGAACUCGCCCGGACCGUCUUUCCUUCCUGGUACCCCUGCCACGCUCCCAAGUGUGCUCCGUGAACUUGAAAACGCACAGUGUCCAGCUGCUUCCAGAGGAAGGAGUAUGCCUGGCCUGCCGACGAGGUCACGAGGGGCGGGGGGAGGAAGGGAGAGAACGUGAAGCAAGCGCUUUACAACCCGAACCUCAGAACCGUGGUCCUCCAAGGAGAGCGCUACUUGAAGAAAAGAAAAAAAAAAGUCGAAUGCUUCUCAGGGAUUUUGUUUUCUGUGCACAUACAAGCCAUAGUUCCAGUACAGGCGGCCGUGUCCAGAGCAUGUGGACUUCAGUUCUGUUUAAUGUGAAAGAGGGAUCGACUGACCAUUCAUUGCUGUUCCGUCACGAGUGUAAAAUAUGUAUAUGUUUAUCUUUAUUUUUAUAAUAUGCAAAUACAUUUAAAUUUAUACAGUUGGAAGCUUCUAGCGUUAGUUAACACUGGGUGCAAUAUUCCGCAUGAGAACUGUGCCAAGACGGGGCUGAUUUCUUACUUUAGCAUAAGACCUGUUCAUUCUUUAUUUUUUGAUCCUUUUCAGAUUAAAAAAAAAAAAGAUUUCUCUCUGCCCAUGGAUUAAGUGUUGGUUCCUAGAGGUCGCCAGUAAUAUGCAAGAAUCUUCAAGGCGCACCUCGGGCAAUGCCUCCUCCUCCCCUUCUUCUAAUGAAAGGACCCAGCCUGCAGCCUGGAAACCCUUGGGUGGGGUGGGCAAGGUCGGGGGAUUGUUCCUUUUCUCUUCCUGUCUCCAAGCAGAGCGUUCCUUGCUCCAGGCUUCCCUGCUGCCUGUGCCUCGUCCCUGGGUGAUUCGCAGAUCGAGGGCUCGUGUUAGGAUUCUUCAGCAGAGGAAGGCAAAGGGGUCGCCGAGCCCAUGGAAAACCUGAGGCUGUCCAUAGCUUCAGAUAAUCAGGAGUCAGUUCUGAAACAUGCAAAGAACCCUGAUAAUGAGUGCUUUCGUCCCCACUGCCCGCCCCCAAGAACAGAGCCUGUGAAAUUGAGCAGAGCACUUGGAAAGCCCUCCAGUCUGGCUGCCAGACCUUAAGACAGUAAAUAGCCAAAUUGGAGAGCAUGGUCCCCCAUUGGUUAUUUAUAAAAAUACAGGACCUCCGAUUGGCCAGCCUACUGCCAAGAACUAGUAAAAGUCUUGUUCUAAAAUCUCCAUGAAGCAAAACUCAAAAAGCAAACCAAACGUACUGCUCUGUCUUCGAACCCGAAGGGGGGCACCCGGCGGGCGCUGCGGGAGUGGCACACUGUGUCCGAGGAGCUCGAAGGACUGUCUGCCCCUGCCGCCUCUGCGCGUUGGCCGAAAACGUGCGAGGCUGUUCCGCACCAGUGUAAGGCAGGGCACGUGAGUCAGCCGAUAGCGUUCUGGUAUCAAGUGUUGCCUCUUGCAAUGCCAUGGCACACAAAGCCUCAAAAGAUUUUUUACAAGAAAUAACAAGCAAGCGGCUACACCGCAAAACAUCACAAAGCGAUUUUUGCAGAAUAUUUUGUGCCCCGGGAGGUAACUUUCCUAACUCCAGAACCUGCAGUUCAACAAGUACGAUGUCUUAGGGUCAGAAAAUCAAGGGGAGUCAGAUUAUUUCUCCAUUUUUAAAUACUCGAAGAUGACACCUCCGGUUUGCGAUUUCAUUGUCUUAGGAACCAUGGUCACAGAAUUAAUCGGGCUAGUCCUUUUGUCGCAGCUCUCGUGUGUGCAUGUGAGAGUGCAGGUGUGUGUGAGUGUGAACCGAAUGCUAGUGUUUCAUUGCUUUACAGACCAGUGGAUCGUUGGGCUUGGAAGUUUUUUCAUUGUCCAGAGACGGGUCCUAAACUGUCCAAUGAACUGAUUUUGACCUGUCUUUGGAAAAGACGCUUAGGUGUGUGACUCUGAGCUAGUUCUCCAAGGGACCAUAUUAAAUGAGAAGACGAGUGUCCUGUGGGUGGCGUGCCCUGCAAAGUGUGUGCUGGUGUCGUGGUCAUAAGUGCCCACGUUCUUAGUGUCUGCCGUUUUUGACAGUGAUGUGCUGUGCUGUCAGCUGAACCCUAGGGAAGCAGAGUGAGGAGGGAUCUUGGUCUUCCGUGUAGUGAAGUGAAAGUCACCGCAGUAGAGGGUCACCUGACCGAAAGCAGCUCCAGAAAAGCUUGAGACCUUGCUUCAGGUUGGGGGGAGGGCUGAAGAUACAGAAAACACUCUGCUCCCCAGGAAUUUUCGCGUCUGGGCAGGACAGUCUGCCCUCUUUGAGCACUGGGAAGACCCAGCUAGCGAGGUGGACGGGCGGUUCACUAAGCACAGGGGGAGCCUUCCAGCCAGUAGUCCCUGGCCUG